rnacentral:lncRNA from 1 species
CAAGAUGGACACAUGGUCCGAGCGGCGUGGAUCAGGCUUUUCAGUGCGAACCCCACACGGCCCGACCCCCACUCUGACAUCCUAAGGUCAGUUAUGUGCUAAUCGCAAGGAGGCUCUAAGGUGGGGCAAUGUGGACGUCCGGCAAGGGCACACUUUUUUUUAGGGGCACAAAAACUCUAAAAGUUCUCGGUUAUAUAUAGAUGCGAAUAAUCGUUUAUUGCUAUAACUUUCAUGGGCGUGUAAAAAAUAAUAAUUUACAUUAUUUAAUUUGUUAAGGCCUAAGGGUUAUGGGCAUGUUUUCUAGCUCGGCCAAGGCACCUGAAUCAUCAGGACCGCCUCUGGCUAAUCGGCGUGUGUUUGUAUUAAGUUUGCCUUGCUAAAACACAAAAAAGUAAGAAAUGUGUACAAACCAUUUAUUGUUAAAAAUGUCUUAUGAUGUUAAGGUAUGGAGAGCAUGGUAGAGCUAAAUGAAU